GGCGGACGGGUGAGUAACGCGUGGGUAACCUGCCCUGUACAGGGGGACAACAGUUGGAAACGACUGCUAAUACCGCAUAAUAUCCUUUAGGGGCACCCCUUUUGAAUCAAAGAUUUAUUGCUGAAAGAUGGGCUCGCGUCUGAUUAGGUAGUUGGUGGGGUAACGGCCCACCAAGCCGACGAUGAUUAGGGGUUCUGAGAGGAAAGUCCCCCACACUGGUACUGAGACACGGACCAGACUCCUACGGGAGGCAGCAGUGAGGAAUAUUGGUCAAUGGGCGCAGGCCUGAACCAGCCAAGUCGCGUGAGGGAAGACGGUCCUACGGAUUGUAAACCUCUUUUGUCGGGGAGUAACGUGCGGGACGCGUCCCGUAUUGAGAGUACCCGAAGAAAAAGCAUCGGCUAACUCCGUGCCAGCAGCCGCGGUAAUACGGAGGAUGCAAGCGUUAUCCGGAUUUAUUGGGUUUAAAGGGUGCGCAGGCGGCGCGCCAAGUCAGCGGUCAAAGUUCCGGGCUCAACCCGGUGUCGCCGUUGAAACUGGCGUGCUCGAGUGCGUGCGAGGAAGGCGGAAUGCGUUGUGUAGCGGUGAAAUGCAUAGAUAUGACGCAGAACUCCGAUUGCGAAGGCAGCUUUCCAGCGCGCUACUGACGCUGAGGCACGAAAGCGUGGGGAUCGAACAGGAUUAGAUACCCUGGUAGUCCACGCAGUAAACGAUGACUACUAGCUUUCCGGGAUGAUUGAGUCCUGGGAGGCACAGCGAAAGCGUUAAGUAGUCCACCUGGGGAGUACGCCGGCAACGGUGAAACUCAAAGGAAUUGACGGGGGCCCGCACAAGCGGUGGAGUAUGUGGUUUAAUUCGACGCAACGCGAAGAACCUUACCAAGGCUUGACAUUGAAUGACCGCUUCAGAGAUGGAGCUUUCCCUUCGGGGACAUGAAAACAGGUGGUGCAUGGCUGUCGUCAGCUCGUGUCGUGAGAUGUUGGGUUAAGUCCCGCAACGAGCGCAACCCCUAUCCUAUGUUACCAGCGGGUAAUGCCGGGGACUCAUAGGAGACUGCCAAGGACAACUUGGAGGAAGGCGGGGAUGACGUCAAGUCAUCAUGCCCCUUAUGUCUUGGGCUACACACGUACUACAAUGGUCGGCAACAGAGGGAAGCGAAGCCGCGAGACAGAGCAAACCCCAGAAACCCGAUCUCAGUUCGGAUUGCAGGCUGCAACUCGCCUGCAUGAAGUCGGAAUCAGGAGUAAUCGCAGGUCAGCAUACUGCGGUGAA
rnacentral:rRNA from 1 species